CAGCCGCCACGGUAAUACGUAGGUGGCAAGCGUUGUCCGGAAUUAUUGGGCGUAAAGGGCUCGCAGGCGGUUUCUUAAGUCUGAUGUGAAAGCCCCCGGCUCAACCGGGGAGGGUCAUUGGAAACUGGGAAACUUGAGUGCAGAAGAGGAGAGUGGGAUUCCACGUGUAGCGGUGAAAUGCGUAGAGAUGUGGAGGAACACCAGUGGCGAAGGCGACUCUCUGGUCUGUAACUGACGCUGAGGAGCGAAAGCGUGGGGAGCGAACAGGAUUAGAUACCCCUGUAGUCCCUGUCUCUUAUAC
rnacentral:rRNA from 1 species